rnacentral:lncRNA from 1 species
GGCAUAGCCCACAUUCUUGUGAAUCACCCACAGUGAUUCCUGCAGUGUUGUCCCCAGCCUCAAGCCUCUCUGCACCGUAAUUGUGCUUCUUUUCCUCAGAUACCUGCCUUGCAUUGGCCCUGGGUAAAUGUUUCCCUUGGCUGUGAAUAGGCAAUUAAAAUUCUGAACCUUUUAUGGCUCUGGAAGCUUAUCCGAUGAAACAAUACUCAUCCAGGCGGAUGGCCCACCAGCGCAAAGGGCUGAAAAGUUCCAUGGCAGCCUCAUAACUGGAGGGUGUGUCCAUGAGGAGGGUUUCGAUGACACGCUGAAAGCUCGGGCAGAUCUCUGCAGAAGCUGCAACACAGAGGAGAGAAGGCACAUGUCUCCAGGCCCCUUUCCAAGCUGGCUAGCCCUCUGGCUGGGUCUGCCCAGAUGCAAACAGCCAGGCCCAUCAGCGAGAGAUAGCAGCCUUUUCAUCGAUGGACUAGAGUGGCUGAGGCCGCUGUAAGCCAAGGUACGCAACGCUUGCUAAACAGGAAUCCCUGGAAUGAAUCCAUGCAUGAGGCCUUUGUGCCAUGUGACAGUUGAAGGCUGUGGUGACCCCGGAACCGUCCCACUCCGAGACGCCUUAACACCGUUUUUCUGCUGUUACAAACCACAGAGCAACGCGUGUGCCUCCUCCCGCCCUGGGGACUCUUUCUGUGGGAGAGGUGCCUGGAUUUAGAGGAGCGACCACUCUUCAUUUGAUCUUGGUCACUUUCCCAGUUGUCACUCGGCCCACAAACUAGGAUGUGAGCAGCAUAUUAAGAAUCUGCAGAGAUGUUCCCGUCUGCCCGGCAUAUGGAUGUCCUUCUGGGCUGCAAAGUGGCAUCCUGUGGGCAACUCCCCCCACAACAACCAGCUGUGAGCUGUGCCCAGGCACAGAGGGACCUGGCUUUCCCUGUUUCUGCAGAUGGAGCCCAGGGUUUCAGGGAGGGAGGGGGCAGGCUGGGACCUGUUGGGGAUCUGGGCACUUUCUCAUGCUCCUUGAGCUGCAAGUCAUAGAAGGAGUGGGGUGGGAGCUGGGAAUGUACCUUCCCAAGGCCACUGGCAGAACCAGCAGGCCCUUUGCUCUGGGAUGAGCUCCCUCUGAGGGGUGGGGACAGUAAAGCGGACCGAAGUCCCUGUUCUGCGGGAUGGAAACUGGCUCCCCUCCAUUGUACAGGCCAGCUCUGGGGAUUUGGGCAGCAGAUUUGGGGUUGACAGCAGAAUGACAUGAUCACCAGUUGACCUUGGCCAGGAUGCCAGCUUACUUUCUCGCUUACUUCUGCAGGUUCUUUGUUCUGCGGGUGAGUCACCCAGGUCCUGCCCUCCGUGCCUGUCUGCCCUCUCCCACUUUCCCUGCCCUGAGCUUGUUCCCACUUGUAGAUUUGGCAGGUCACUGCCAAGGCCCCUAUUCCCCCAACAUGGCCAGUGCCCUAAGGGUGGGUUGUACAGGGAGGAGCUGGCGUGGUCAGUAGACUUGAAUCAGGGACAACUCGGCUGCUGAAGGCUGAGGGGGCCUUGCAGGGCUGCAGGUGCCUUGUGCACACAGGGAGUGGGUAGAGAAGGCAACCAGGGGCUCCUUCAGGCCUUAAUGCUCUGCAGCCCAGUGAGGCUGUGCCCAGAGAGUCUGGCGAGGCCCUGGUCUGCUCCCCCAGCCAAUGGCCUGAUGCUGUUCCAUCUGGGCACCCUGUCACUUUUCGUUCAUCAGGGAGUACAGGGUGAUUCAGGGUCUCAAAUGCAGGUGUUCACAAAAUGAAAUAGAACUUCCCUCUAUCCCCGUGCUUCUUUUUAUUUUUAUAACAAAUAUACAUCGUUAUAUUUUAUUUUUAUAUUUAUGUAUUUUAUAUAUAUGUGACAUCUACUACAUGACAGAAAAUAUUUAUGGCCAGGCAAGGUGGCUUACACCUGUAAUGCCAGCACUUUGGGAGGCUGAGGCAGGCGGAUCACCUGAGGUCGAGAGUUGGAGACCAGUGUGACCAACAUGGAGAAACCCCAUCUCUACUAAAAAUACAAAAUCAGCUGGGGGUGGUGGCGCAUGCCUGUAAUCCCAGCUACUCGGGAAGCUGAGGCAGGAGAAUCGCUUGAACCGGGGAGGCGGAGGUUGUGGUGAGCCGAGAUUGCACCAUUGCACUCCAGCCUGGCAACAAGGGAUAAACCCCGUCUCAAAAAAAAAAAAAGAAAAAAAAAAAGAAAAAAAUAUUUAUAAUGUAACUAAUAUAGCUAAAAUAAAAUGUAAUUUCAGUCUCAAGCCUUCAUUCUGUUAAGGGGACAGAAACUUAAUCUUGGUCAUCUUGGGGUCUCCCUCCCUGGGGCUGUGCCUGACUUCCAGGGGGCUCGGCGUUGGCAGGAUUUCUGGUGCUUGAGGUCACCUGUCAGCCUGUCUCUUGUCAUUGGCUAUCCGCCGUGCCAUCUGCUCCUGUGUGUCCUUGGCACUGUUCGCAUGUCUCCAGCUCGCUGGCUUUCUCUGCCACCUUGGAGCCACUCCUGGGUGCACAGGAGUCUUACUGCUCCCACGCUGUGCUGGGGCCUGGGAAGACUGCUGUGGCCUACCUGCCUCCGUGUAGCACACACACCCAUUUCUUCUUCUUCUUCUCCUUCUCCUUCUUCAGACAGAGACUCACUCUGUCACCUAGGCUGGACUGCAGUGGUGCCAAAUUGGCUCACUGCAACCUCCGCCUCCCGGGUU